GAUGAACGCUGGCGGCGUGCCUAAUACAUGCAAGUCGAGCGAACAGACGCGGAGCUUGCUCCUCUGACGUUAGCGGCGGACGGGUGAGUAACACGUGGAUAACCUACCUAUAAGACUGGGAUCACUUCGGGAAACCGGAGCUAAUACCGGAUAAUAUAUUGCACCGCAUGGUUCAAUAGUGAAAGUCGGUUUUGCUGUCACUUAUCGAUGGAUCCGCGCCGCAUUAGCUAGUUGGUAAGGUCAAGGCUUACCAAGGCAACGAUGCGUCGCCGACCUGAGAGAGGGAUCGGCCACACGGGAACUGAGACACGGACCAGAGUCCUACGGGAGGCAGCAGUAGGGAAUCUUCCGCAAUGGGCGAAAGCCUGACGGAACAACGCCGCGUGAGUGAUAAAGGUCUUCGGAUCGUAAAACUCUGUUAUUAGGGAAGAACAAAUGUGUAAGUAACUAUGCACGUCUUGACGGUACCUAAUCAGAAAGCCACGGCUAACUACGUG
rnacentral:rRNA from 1 species